rnacentral:rRNA from 1 species
AGAGUUUGAUCCUGGCUCAGGAUGAACGCUGGCGGCGUGCCUCAUGCAUGCAAGUCGAACGGGAACACUUUUAGUAGCAAUACUGAGGGUGUUCUAGUGGCGAUCGGGUGAGUAACACGUAGGUGACCUGCCCCGAAGAGGGGGAUAACGGUCCGAAAGGACUGCUAAUACCCCAUGUGGUUGAUGAUUCAUUUCAUCAAUUAAAGUUUCCGCAAGGAGUAUGCUUCGGGAGGGGCCUGCGGCGGAUUAGAUAGUUGGUGGGGUAAUGGCCUACCAAGUCGAUGAUCCGUAGCUAGUCUGAGAGGACGAUUAGCCACACUGGCACUGACACACGGGCCAGACUCCUACGGGAGGCAGCAGCAGGGAAUAUUGCACAAUGGGCGAAAGCCUGAUGCAGCAACGCCGCGUGAGGGAUGAAGGUCUUCGGAUUGUAAACCUCUUUUACAGGGGACGAGUAAGGACGGUACCCUGUGAAUAAGCAACGGCUAACUACGUGCCAGCAGCCGCGGUA